rnacentral:rRNA from 1 species
ACGAACGCUGGCGGCAUGCCUAACACAUGCAAGUCGAACGAAGGCUUCGGCCUUAGUGGCGCACGGGUGCGUAACGCGUGGGAAUCUGCCCUUUGGUUCGGAAUAACAGCUGGAAACGGCUGCUAAUACCGGAUGAUGACGAAAGUCCAAAGAUUUAUCGCCAGAGGAUGAGCCCGCGUUGGAUUAGGUAGUUGGUGGGGUAAAGGCCUACCAAGCCGACGAUCCAUAGCUGGUCUGAGAGGAUGAUCAGCCACACUGGGACUGAGACACGGCCCAGACUCCUACGGGAAGCAGCAGUGGGGAAUAUUGGACAAUGGGCGCAAGCCUGAUCCAGCAAUGCCGCGUGAGUGAUGAAGGCCCUAGGGUUGUAAAGCUCUUUUACCUGGGAAGAUAAUGACUGUACCGGGAGAAUAAGCCCCGGCUAACUCCGUG